rnacentral:sRNA from 1 species
AUCAUUACAGAGUUCAUGCCCUCACGGGUAGAUCUCCCACCCUUGAAUAUUAUACCUUCGUUGCUUUGGCAGGCCGUGGAAACACCAGAGGCUCCGGCUGAUGCGUGCCUGCCAGAGGAAACAAACUCUGUUUUUAGUGAUGUCUGAGUACUAUAUAAUAGUUAAAACUUUCAACAGCGGAUCUCUUGGUUCUGGCAUCGAUGAAGAACGCAGCGAAAUGCGAUAAGUAAUGUGAAUUGCAGAAUUCAGUGAAUCAUCGAAUCUUUGAACGCACAUUGCGCCCCGUGGUAUUCCGCGGGGCAUGCCUGUUCGAGCGUCAUUUCAACCCAUCAAGCUUCGGCUUGGUCUUGGGGCCUGCGGUUUCGCAGCCUCUAAACCCAGUGGCGGUGCUAUUGAGCUCUGAGCGUAGUAAUUUCUCUCGCUAUAGAGUCUCGGUGGUGACUUGCCAACAACCCCCAAUUUUUAUCAGGUUGACCUCGGAUCAGGUAGGGAUACCCGCUGAACUUAAGCAUAUCAU